GGGUGAGUAACGCGUAAGUAAUCUACCCUGGUAUCUGGGAUAACCAACCGAAAGGUUGGCUAAUACCGGAUACGCUGGUAACAGGAAAGGUGGCCUCUUCAUGAAAGCUACUGUACCAGGAGGAGCUUGCGUACCAUUAGCUAGUUGGUAGGGUAAUGGCCUACCAAGGCGACGAUGGUUAGCGGGUCUGAGAGGAUGAUCCGCCACACUGGAACUGGAACACGGACCAGACUCCUACGGGAGGCAGCAGUGAGGAAUAUUGCGCAAUGGGGGAAACCCUGACGCAGCGACGCCGCGUGGAUGAUGAAGGCCUUCGGGUCGUAAAAUCCUGUCAGAUGGAAAGAAGUGUAUAGAUGUUAAUAGCAUUUAUAUUUGACGGUACCAUCAAAGGAAGCACCGGCUAACUCCGUGCCAGCAGCCGCGGUAAUACGGAGGGUGCAAGCGUUGUUCGGAAUUACUGGGCGUAAAGCGCGCGUAGGCGGUUUUAUAAGUCAGAUGUGAAAGUCCACGGCUCAACCGUGGAAGUGCAUUUGAAACUGUAUUACUUGAGUACUGGAGGGGGUGGUGGAAUUCCCGGUGUAGAGGUGAAAUUCGUAGAUAUCGGGAGGAAUACCGGUGGCGAAGGCGACCACCUGGCCAGAUACUGACGCUGAGGUGCGAAAGCG
rnacentral:rRNA from 1 species